CUCGGAUCACGCCGGAAUGGAAGAAGCCCCAGUGCCCAGGAGCGACGACGGGCUGGGACGCCCGCGCGCUUCUCCCGCAGCCGAGCACCGAGAGCCAGAGUCGGGGGACCACCGAGACCCCAGUCCGCCCGCGGCGGCCCGCCCGGAUUCCCGCUGAGCACCGUGCGCCCCCGGGGAGCGGAGAGGAGGCGGCCCACUCCUCAGCUGCUGAGAGAAAUGGAGCCGUCCUCUGGGAAUCGUCUUCUGGAGAGUCUGGGUGUUGCUGAGAACCGUAAACCACAUCUCUGCAAGGACAACGUGGGAAGUUGGUUCUUAGUGCAACAAACGUUUACUACUUUACCGGACACAGUUGAGAUGCUGGUGAUACAAUUGCCCAAAGUACAGCAGCAUCCUUCAGGACCUUUGUAUCAUGCUUUUAGCUUUUAUUAUAAUUUGCCUUUGGCUUUCAUUGAACAUUCUUGAGAAUUUGGAAGAUGAAUGCAAUGGAGUAUUACUCAGCCAAAAAUCAAGGCAGAAAUCUUGACAUUUGCAGCAAAAUGGAUGGAACUGAAGAUCAUAUGCUCCCUGCUAAUGUGCCUGAGAAAGCAGUGGAAGAUGGCCCAAGUCCUCAGGCCCCUGCCACCCAUGUAGAAGACCUGAAAGAAACUCCUGAUUAUUGGCUUCAGACCAGCCCAGCUGUAACCAGUGUGGCCAUCUAGAGAACAAACCAGCAAAUGGAAAACUUGUCUCUCUGUCUUUCCCUUUCCCUCUGUAACUGUGUCUUUCAAAUAAACAAAUAUUUCUUUAAAAAUAUAC